rnacentral:misc_RNA from 1 species
AAGUCGUAACAAGGUUUCCGUAGGUGAACCUGCGGAAGGAUCAUUACCAAUAUAGCGAACCGAGCGUUAGCGAGGCUUCGCGAUCAAAUUUGUAUUUAAAACCCAACUCUUUAAAUGUAUAAUAUUAUUAUUGUAUUUUAAAUAAUAAAAAGAUCACUUUCAACAACGGAUCUCUUGGCUCUC